rnacentral:tRNA from 1 species
UCCCUGGUGGCUCAGAGGUUAAAGCGUCUGCCUUCAAUGCGAGUAGACCCGGGUUCGAUUCCUGGGUCGGGAA